rnacentral:rRNA from 1 species
AUUCCAGCUCCAAUAGCGUAUAUUAAAGUUGUUGCAGUUAAAAAGCUCGUAGUUGGAUUUCUGAUCGAAGCGACCAUACCGGGCUUGAUUGUCCGUGUAAUGUGUUGUCUUCAGUCAUCCUUGUGGAGAGUAUUUCUGGCAUUAAUUUGUUAGAGGUAGGACCCGCAUCAUUUACUGUGAAAAAAUUAGAGUGUUCAAAGCAGGCAAUUCGCUUGAAUACAUAGCAUGGAAUAAUAAGAUAGGACUUUGGUGCUAUUUUGUUGGUUUGCACACUAAGGUAAUGAUUAACAGAAUCAGUCGGGGAUAUUCGUAUGCAAAUGUCAGAGGUGAAAUUCUUGGAUUUUUUACAGACGAACUACUGCGAAAGCAUUUAUCAAGGAUGUUUUCAUCG